rnacentral:tRNA from 1 species
GCAUUAAUGGGGUAGUGGUAACCUGGGUCGUUGCCAUCGACCCGCUGGGGGUUCGAUUCCCCCUUAAUGCA